UUCAACUAAAUAUUGAUUUUCGAUUCAAAAACGAUUCUCGAUUCAAAAAGCGAUUCACAGUAUGUAGAUGUACUUACUUUUCCCAUCUAAAAAAUAUGUAUUGAUUU